GUCCAUGUAGCUCAGUUGGAUAGAGCGUUACCCUCCGAAGGUAAAGGCCGCAAGUUCGACUCUUGUCAUGGACACCA
rnacentral:tRNA from 1 species